rnacentral:rRNA from 1 species
GAUGAACGCUGGCGGCGUGCCUGAUACAUGCAAGUCGAGCGAACGGACGAGAAGCUUGCUUCUCUGAUGUUAGCGGCGGACGGGUGAGUAACACGUGGAUAACCUACCUAUAAGACUGGGAUAACUUCGGGAAACCGGAGCUAAUACCGGAUAAUAUUUUGAACCGCAUGGUUCAAAAGUGAAAGACGGUCUUGCUGUCACUUAUAGAUGGGUCCGCGCUGCAUUAGCUAGUUGGUAAGGUAACGGCUUACCAAGGCAACGAUGCAUAGCCGACCUGAGAGGGUGAUCGGCCACACUGGAACUGAGACACGGUCCAGACUCCUACGGGAGGCAGCAGUAGGGAAUCUUCCGCAAUGGGCGAAAGCCUGACGGAGCAACGCCGCGUGAGUGAUGAAGGUCUUCGGAUCGUAAAGCUCUGUUAUUAGGGAAGAACAUAUGUGUAAGUAACUGUGCACAUCUUGACGGUACCUAAUCAGAAAGCCACGGCUAACUACGUG